GUGGGGAAUAUUGGACAAUGGGGGGAACCCUGAUCCAGCCAUGCCGCGUGUGUGAAGAAGGCCUUUUGGUUGUAAAGCACUUUAAGUGGGGAGGAGGCUUACCUAGUUAAUACCUGGGCUAAGUGGACGUUACCCACAGAAUAAGCACCGGCUAACUCUGUGCCAGCAGCCGCGGUAAUACAGAGGGUGCGAGCGUUAAUCGGAUUUACUGGGCGUAAAGCGCGCGGAGGUGGUUAAUUAAGUCAAAUGUGAAAUCCCCGAGCUUAACUUGGGAAUUGCAUUCGAUACUGGUUGGCUUGAGUAUGGGAGAGGAUGGUAGAAUUCCAGGUGUAGCGGUGAAAUGCGUAGAGAUCUGGAGGAAUACCGAUGGCGAAGGCAGCCAUCUGGCCUAAUACUGACACUGAGGUGCGAAAGCAUGGGGAGCAAACAGGAUUAGAUACCCCUGUAGUCC
rnacentral:rRNA from 1 species